rnacentral:rRNA from 1 species
CCGAUGGCGACCGGCGCACGGGUGAGUAACACGUAUCCAACCUGCCGAUGACUCGGGGAUAGCCUUUCGAAAGAAAGAUUAAUACCCGAUGGCAUAGUUCUUCCGCAUGGUAGAACUAUUAAAGAAUUUCGGUUAUCGAUGGGGAUGCGUUCCAUUAGUUUGUUGGCGGGGUAACGGCCCACCAAGACUACGAUGGAUAGGGGUUCUGAGAGGAAGGUCCCCCACAUUGGAACUGAGACACGGUCCAA